rnacentral:misc_RNA from 1 species
UUUCCGUAGGUGAACCUGCGGAAGGAUCAUUACCUAGAGUUGCGGGCUUUGCCUGCUAUCUCUUACCCAUGUCUUUUGAGUACCUUCGUUUCCUCGGCGGGUUCGCCCGCCGAUUGGACAAUUUAAACCAUUUGCAGUUGCAAUCAGCGUCUGAAAAAACUUAAUAGUUACAACUUUCAACAACGGAUCUCUUGGUUCUGGCAUCGAUGAAGAACGCAGC